GGCCUCGUAGCUCAGCUGGUGGAGCGUACGCGUACACAACGUAGUCCCCUCCACGCGUGGGUUCGAAUCCUACCUAGGCUA
rnacentral:tRNA from 1 species